rnacentral:rRNA from 1 species
CCUACGGGAGGCAGCAGUGGGGAAUUUUGGACAAUGGGCGCAAGCCUGAUCCAGCCAUGCCGCGUGUCUGAAGAAGGCCUUCGGGUUGUAAAGGACUUUUGUCAGGGAAGAAAAGGACAGGGUUAAUACCCCUGUCUGAUGACGGUACCUGAAGAAUAAGCACCGGCUAACUACGUGCCAGCAGCCGCGGUAAUACGUAGGGUGCGAGCGUUAGUCGGAAUUACUGGGCGUAAAGCGAGCGCAGACGGUUACUUAAGCAGGAUGUGAAAUCCCCGGGCUCAACCUGGGAACUGCGUUCUGAACUGGGUGACUAGAGUGUGUCAGAGGGAGGUAGAAUUCCACGUGUAGCAGUGAAAUGCGUAGAGAUGUGGAGGAAUACCGAUGGCGAAGGCAGCCUCCUGGGAUAACACUGACGUUCAUGCUCGAAAGCGUGGGUAGCAAACAGGAUUAGAUACCCUGGUAGUCCACGCCCUAAACGAUGUCGAUUAGCUGUUGGGCAGCAUGACUGCUUAGUAGCGAAGCUAACGCGUGAAAUCGACCGCCUGGGGAGUACGGUCGCAAGAUUAAAACUCAAAGGAAUUGACGG